UCCAGAGGUGGCAAGCGUUGUUCGGAAUUACUGGGCGUAAAGGGCGCGUAGGCGGCCUCUUUAGUCAGACGUGAAAUCCCCCGGCUUAACCUGGGAACUGCGUCUGAUACUGGGAGGCUAGAGUUCGGGAGAGGGAUGUAGAAUUCCAGGUGUAGCGGUGAAAUGCGUAGAUAUCUGGAGGAAUACCGGUGGCGAAGGCGGCAUCCUGGACCGAAACUGACGCUGAGGCGCGAAAGCUAGGGGAGCAAACGGG
rnacentral:rRNA from 1 species